rnacentral:rRNA from 1 species
AUUGAACGCUGGCGGCAUGCCUUACACAUGCAAGUCGAACGGCAGCGCGGGGCAACCUGGCGGCGAGUGGCGAACGGGUGAGUAAUAUAUCGGAACAUACCCUAGAGUGGGGAUAACGUAGCGAAAGUUACGCUAAUACCGCAUACGCACUAAGGUGGAAAGUGGGGGAUCUUCGGACCUCAUGCUCAUGGAGUGGCCGAUAUCUGAUUAGCUAGUUGGUGAGGUAAAGGCUCACCAAGGCGACGAUCAGUAGCUGGUUUGAGAGAACGACCAGCCACACUGGAACUGAGACACGGUCCAGGCUCCUACGGAGGCAGCAGUGGGGAAUUUUGGACAAUGGGGGCGAACCCUGAUCCAGCAAUGCCGCGUGAGUGAAGAAGGCCUUCGGGUU